rnacentral:rRNA from 1 species
CCCUUAGAUGUUCUGGGCCGCACGCGCGCUACACUGAGUGUCUGAGAUACGAGUCUGCCUGGUCCGGCAAGGUCUAGGUAAUCGCUAAAAGACACAUCAUGCUUGGGAUAGAUUAUUGCAAAUAUUAAUCUUGAACGAGGAAUUCCUAGUAAGCGCAAGUCAACAGCUUGCGUUGAUUACGUCCCUGCCCUUCGUACACACCGCCCGUCGCUACUACUGAUUGGAUGUUUAAGCGAGGUUCUCGAACUGCUAGCGACUUAGCUUCGGUGAGGUCGCAGUGUGGGAAGUGAACCUAGCUUUGGUGUCUAGAGGAAGUAAAAGUCGUAACA